GUCAGUAUGCUCUUCUGUUUUCCUGAGAACAUGAUUAGAUACAGGAAUGUUAAAAUCCUUGGGUAUUUAUAGCAAUGUUGGCAAUCCAUCCGAACGAAUCAGAGCAAUAGGAACCCCUCCAUCUACCAGGGGGAUUGAGAUCUGAUGCACAAUCCGUAAAACAUAGAACUUCCUCAUUUUGUGGGUUGAUGACCAAGCUACUAGAUGAGCACAAACCUGAACUUCUAGCAGACCCAUACACCUGUAAAUCCAGCUCCUUCAAGCUGAAGCCUUCCACAACAGAUCUCUUUGUGGGCCAUUGCACCGUUCCCUUUGAGUUCCCACUGACAACGGGUCUAUUUAUUAGUUUUCCUUUGAAAUUCCAAAUCUUCAAGUACCAUUCAGACUGAUCAGGAACUACCAUAUCUGCUCGCAGAGUGUCUUGAACCCUCUAAGAACCAAAAUGAAUGGUUUCAUUUUUGUGAUAUUCUAAUUCUUCCAAAAUCUUAUGAGUUGGAUUAAUCAAAUUCAGUUUUUCUCAUUUUAUCUCAAAAUAUCCAUUUGUUUGAAAUUGAUGCUUCUAUUUCCACUUCCCAUGAAGAUUUGACCGACCAAUGAAUGUUGAAGAGAAAUCAUGAAUCUCAUGUUGGAUUUGGACAAUUGUAUCAAGCUAAGACACUAUAAGGGGAAGAAAACACUAAAAGAAAACAUGGAGAAACUUGAAUAGAAAUUUGAAAAUUGAGCAAGGGGAGGCUCAUUGUUAUCAAUUUAUUUUACAUGAUUAAUAUUGUAUUUUCUUCCUUCUCAUGAUAUUUAUCCCUACCCUCUUCAUUAUCAUUAUUUUGCUUCAUCAACCCUCUCUUAAUGGUUCUGUUUAAUUAAACAUUUGAAUUUUAACAAAAUAGGCUUAUAUUUGUUCUCAUUUAAAUACCUUUUUUCAAACAGAGGAUAAGCAUUCCUGAGAUUAGGAAUCACGAG
rnacentral:misc_RNA from 1 species